rnacentral:rRNA from 1 species
UGCCAGCAGCCGCGGUAACACGGAGGGUGCAAGCGUUGUUCGGAAUUACUGGGCGUAAAGCGCGCGUAGGCGGCUAUUUAAGUCAGGUGUGAAAGCCCGGGGCUCAACCCCGGAUGGUCACUUGAAACAGCAAGACUUGAGUACUGGAGAGGAAAGCGGAAUUCCUGGUGUAGAGGUGAAAUUCGUAGAUAUCAGGAGGAACACCGAUGGCGAAGGCAGCUUUCUGGACAGAUACUGACGCUGAGGCGCGAAGGCGUGGGUAGCGAACGGGAUUAGAUA